AAUCAACGCUGGCGGCGUGCCUAACACAUGCAAGUCGAACGCGAAAGUCCCGCAAGGGAUGAGUAGAGUGGCAAACGGGUGAGUAACACGUGGGUGACCUGCCUUCGAGUGGGGGAGUAACGUCCCGAACGGGACGCUAAUACCGCAUAACAUCCUGCCUUUGUAACAGGUGGUGAUCAAAGCUGGGGACCCGCAAGGCCUGGCGCUGGAAGAGGGGCCCGCGUCUGAUUAGCAGGUUGGUGGGGUAACGGCUCACCAAGGCAACGAUCAGUAUCCGGCCUGAGAGGGCGGACGGACACACUGGGACUGAGACACGGCCCAGACUCCUACGGGAGGCAGCAGUGGGGAAUUGUUCGCAAUGGGCGCAAGCCUGACGACGCAACGCCGCGUGA
rnacentral:rRNA from 1 species